rnacentral:lncRNA from 1 species
GGGCAGGCGCGGGGGGCGGCCUCCAACUUUCCUUGUCCCGGGAACUGCGGCCGCCCGAGGGGACGCCCGCUUUUGGCAGGGAGGAAUACACGGGGAGCGGGGGCUGUGAGGACGGACCUCACGCUUUGGGGCCGCCUAGUAGCUCGAGGAAGUGCUUGCCUGACACGGGUACAGAGCCUUCGGUUGUUGCCCGGGGCUUUUCCCACGGCGACCUUUCCUGUUUUUCGGCACAAUUGGCUUUGGUCGUGGAUCCUGUUACUGAGUCUUGCCUAUGCUUCAAAAUGAAAGUGAGGAAGAAGAAUCCCUGAAAGUAUUAAUUUGAACAAUAAUUAUUGCUUAUAGGGGGUGAAAGAAGCUGGAAGUGAGUACAUAUUGAGAUUUGGGAAGAGCUCUUCCUGUGGUCAGGUAAUGAAUUAAAUACCCUGAAUAUUACUAAAUGAACCUGUGCAUGUAGCAUUCCAUGAAGAGAUAUGAUAUGUGUUACAUGGUACAGUAUGUCUAGUAAUGGAUCCAUUUAAAGCAAAUCAGGGUUGUUUGUUUUUUUUUAAAUACCAGUGUUGGAUUUUUG